rnacentral:lncRNA from 1 species
UUUUUUUUUUUUAGGGCUGCUCCCACAGCAUAUGGAGGUUCCCAGGCUAGGGGUCCAAUCGGAGCUGUGGCCACUGCCUACACCACAGCCACAGCAAAGCCAGAUUUGAGCCAUAUCUGCAGCCUACACCCCAGCUCACGGCAACACAAGAUCCUUAACCCACUGAGCAAGACCAGGGAUCGAACCCGUGUUCUCAUGGAUACUGGUCUGGUCCAUUAACCGCUGAGCCACAACAGGAACUCCCAGUGGUGCAUAUGUUAAGCAGAAAUGAGAUGUCCUGUUGGAAAGCAUUGUUCAGGCUUUAAAAAGAGGACUGUGGGGACAGGUGCUGUGAGGAAAGACUCCUUGAGAGUGAGACGUGGGCAUCAGCGUGUAAGCUGGGCUUGCCGUGUCCCUGCCGGUCAGGGGGUCAGCUGGCCAUGCCUGGUCUCCGGAGAGCGAGGCUGAGUUUCUCCAAAAGCUUAUGGGGGGAGGGUGUCUGCUCCAGGAGAACCCCUGGGGCUUAGCUCCCAAAUGUUGAAGGGGAGGUUCAUGGACGUGUGGUUUUAUGUGUCCAGCAGGGACCCUACCCAGUGUCAUUGUUGCUGGUGGGGAGUGGAACGUGAAAAGGGAGCUUGAGCUUAAAGUGGUUGCAUUUGGUUUGUUUGUUUGUUUGUUUGGCUGUGCCCAUGGCAUGCAGAAAUUCCUGGGCCAGGGAUCGAAUCCAUGCUGCAGCAGUGACCUGAGCCACAGCAGUGACAACGCCAGCUCCUUAAGCCCUUGUGCUACCGGGGAACUCCCGCUUGUUUUUACUCUAGGCAGACAACGGCAAAAGGGAGGUCGGUUGAACCCUGGUGGAUGAUUGCUCUUCUUGAGAUGGGAGGCUGGGGUCGAGGCGCCCAGUCGGACGGGAGCCUUGCUGGGAGGAGCACGUCCUAAAGGAAAAGGCAAGACAGUAGGGCCUUCCAGCUUCCGGGUGUUCGUGUGCCCCCGGGUAUCCAGCUCUGGAGGAAGCCCUCGGCGAGCACUGUGCCCCUGGCUCUCACAUCAGCCUCCCCGCCACCCAGUGAGACAGGCUCGCAGUCAGCAGGAUGAGGGUCCCCCAGAGAGGCCUGCGUCCUAACGCCCGCAACUUGGGACGACACCACCUUACAAGGCAAAGGGGUUAGGAUUGCUAACCCGUUUAUCUUAAAAUAGGGAGCUUGGCUUAGAUUACCCAGAUGGGCCCAGUGCAAUCCCAAGAGUCCUUCCACAUGGAGUCCGCCAGCAGUAAAGUCAGUGGGACCGUCUGAGAAGGACCAGCCCGGCCACUGCUGGCUUUCGAGAUGGAGGCCGAGGCCACCGGGCUGGAAUGCGGGUGGCUUCUGGAAGCUGGAAAAGGCCAGAACACCGAGCCAAAAGGAACACGGCCUGUAAAACUAGGACUCUGGGCCCCCUGAACGGGAAGUUAAGAAGUUUGGGGGGUUUGCACCCUUCUUGUUUGUGAUCGUGAUGCUGGGAAUAGGAAACCGACCCGGGGUUGUUUCCCACAGGUUAGGCAUGGUGAACGGAGGCUUGGGCAAACCAGGUGACUCCUACCCAAAUCGGCGACAUGCACGAGCCCAAGUGACAGAGCCCCCCGUUCAGUCUGCGCGGCUCCAGAGUCCGCACCGUGCAGCCCAGGGGCUGGGUCGUGUCGGACUCGGGCUGUGUCUUACUGGUGGAAUUAGACUGGGCAAAUGCUAGAGAUGCUGGUGUGAGUGGGAAUGAGAGGGUCACCUCCAUCCCGGGCAUGUGUCCUGACGGGCGUGUGACAAUGACCACCAGACCUUGUCACGAGUAACUUGAUACAAAUGCAAACUUUGGUGUCUGGCUGGGAAGGCUCAAAUGAUAAUAGAAUUAAGCUCAUCGUGUUCUAAGACUGUGAGGGCUGCAUCGUAAUUCAGCCUGACUCCUUGUCCCGGCAAGCGUGGAGGCUGGGCUCAAACUGAGGAAUAUUCAGCAAUUGCUGAACCAGCGGCCAUUAAUAUGCAUGAAGAGUCAGCGCCCUCGGGGGUGACACGUUGGCAGGAGUGGGACGGCCUGGCAUUGGUGGCUCAGCUUCUGUCACUGCCCGAGAAGCUGCCCUGUGCUACCUUCCCCAUCCACCCACAAGCUCAGCCCCCACUGAGCCUUUCCCAAGGGGCCGCCUCUCUUAUCGCUGAGGGUAAGUGUCACUGGGGGGUGGGGGGGAGGGGGAGGCCACAGCUGUCCUCUCACCACUUACCAGGUGCUUUUCUAGCCUCCAGAGAGAGAGAGCCUUGAGCAAAAGCGACAGGACUGCCUGUGCUCGGAGAGCUGCAGCCUCGGUGAGGUGACACUCGUGCCGCGGCAUCACUGAGGCGUCCCCUGAUGUCCCUGCCUUCUGCUUUCUUGGUCUCAAGGCUGAAGUUAAAAAGCCUGUAAUUUUCGGGAGUUCCUGUCGUGGAUCUGUGGGUUACGAACCUGGCUCAUAUCCAUGAGGAUGUGGGUUCAAUCCCUGGCCCCGCUCAGUGGGUUGAGGAUCCGGGGUUGCCAUGAGCUGUGGUGUAGGUUGCCGAUGCAGCUUGGAUCCCGUAUUGCUGUGGUUAUGGUGUAGGCUGGCAGCUGCAGCUCCGGUUGGACCCCUAACCCAGGGACUUCCAUAUGCCACAGGUGCGGCUGUGUAAAGAAAAACAAAAAAAAUGAAAAAAAAAAAAGCAUAUAAAUUCCACCCUUAAACAAGUGCUUCCUUUUCCCUGCCUGCCUCAUCAUGGCUUUGUGCCUCUCCCCCAGUGCUUCUGGGGGCCCCUAAGAGACGUGCCGUUUGUACCUGAACUUGUGGCUCUGGCCCCUCCUUGGCAUCCAGCUGCUUCCCCAGACCCUCUGCUGACCCCGCGGAGCUGUGGGAGCAAAGGCCCCCUCUUCUGCACCCCUGGGUCUGAUGAUAGCGAGAAGGACCCUCUUUGUCUCAGCCGCAGGUCUCCGCCUCCAGGAUUUCAGCCAGGUGCCCACGGGCUGGAUCAGGGGCAUCUGGGCUGGGUACAGGGUCUGCGUCCUGGCAUGGCGAAGGCGUGUUCCGGCCUGACCUUGCCCCCUGGCUCUCUUUGGUGAAAAGUCUCUCUUGAGAGGCUCUCACCUCAGUCCCUUCUUAGAAUGGGCUUCUGUCAAGCAGCUGCUCCAGACUUCCAGACAACCCUGCCCGGGCCCGUGCCAGCCAUGAAUUUAGCUUUUCCUGACACUGACUUUCCCCACGCCGGUCUUCUGCCCUUCCAUAAAUCGGGGUCCCCCUCCUCCCCAGACUGCUGGCGGGGGGCCAGGGGCUCUGCCUGUCCUGGGCCUUCAUGAUUCAGAAUGACACUGUUGGGAGUUCCCCUUGUGGUUCAGCGGAUUACGAACUGGACGAGCAUCCAGGAGGAUGCGGGUUCCAUCCCUCGCCUCGCUCAGGGGGUCGGGGAUCUGGCGUUGCCACGAGCUGUGGUGUAGGUUGCAGAGGUGGCUCAGAUCUGGCGUUGCUGUGGCUGCGGUGUAGACCGGCAGCUGUGGCUCUGAUUUGACACCCAGCCUGGGAGCUUCCGUGGGCUCUGGGUUCGGCCCUAAAAACAAACAAGCCGCAAAAUAAAACAACAUCAACAACAACACAACAAAUCGCACUUUACCGCGUGAUAACAGGCGAUGAGAAAAGACACGGGGUGCUGUGGUGGAGAACGCUGAGGGGCGUGUUAGCUGUCUAUUGCGGCGACAGAAAUUACCCCCCACCCCGCAGCUUGAAACAGCACCAUCGAUUAUCUCAGAUUCUGUGGAUUAGGGAUUGGGAGCAGUUUAGCUGGCUGGUUCUGGUUCAGCGGCUGUCUGAAAGCUUUCGUCAAACUGUGCCCUGGGGCUGAGACCUCAUCCUACGGCUCAGCCUGGACUGAAGGACCGGGUUCGAGGCUGACGCCUGUGGUUGCGGGCAAGCCUCAGAUCUGCACCUGUUGCUGUGCUGAGGGCCUCAGUUCCCUGCUAGGUGUUGGCCGACUGUCUCCACCAACCCAGUUAGUUACUCUCCUUUGAUCCUUUCUAUAGGGGGGCUCAUAGCCUAGCGGCUGCCUUCCCCCAGAGCUAAUGGUCCAAGAGCGGGAGAGGGAGAGGGACAGUGUUCAUCCAAAAGGGAAGCCACAGCUUUCAGAGCCUGAUCAGAAGGGUGACUCGCCAUCACUUUAUAUUCUGUUCAUUAGAAUGGAGGUUCUUGUUCUAACCCUCACUCACCGGACGGAGAAUUAAGCUUCCCAUCCCCCUUAUUUUAGGGCCACACCUGCAGCAUAUGGAGGUUCCCAUGCUAGGGGUCUAAUCAGAGCUGUAGCCACUGGCCUAUGCCAGAUCUGAGCUGUGUCUGCGACCUACACCACAGCUCAUGGCAACGCUGGAUCCUUAACCCACUGAUUGAGGCUAGGGAUCGAACUCGAAACCUCAUGGUUCCUCGUCGGAUUCUUUAACCGCUGAGCCACGAUGGGAACUCUCUGGACAAUUUUUUUUAAGCUACCACAAGGAGGGAUGGUGGGGUGGGUUNAAAUAAAGAAAGAAAGAAAAAGAAAAAAGAAAAGAAAGAUCUCACUUAAAUAAAAACAUGACAUACAUAAAAAUAGCUUUUGUUGCGAGCCAAGUGAUUCUUCUUUUUGUCUUUAAAUUAGAAAGGAAAGAAAGGCUGUCUGUUGGUGAGGCAGGGAAGAGAGCCCCUGUGGCCCCAUCAGCGACUCAGUUGAGGGAGGGGCUGUGAGGAGUCUGACCAGGCUGCCCCUCGUGAUCAGCCCUGAGGGCAGGUUUAUAGAGAAGCUGAAAGUGGCAGUGGGAUUUACUGAGAUAUUAAUUCACGUUUGUUUUGACUCUGUGAAAGGGUCCGAGAGAAGGAGAACAAUUCCUGGCCAUCUCUAACUCUGCUCCCCCCUUUUCUGCCUUAAGUUCUGGAAAAUCUGGACAACCUCAGCACCCAUAAGCUUCUGCUUUAGAAAAAAAGCUGAGCAAAGUGUCCUGGAGGCCACGUGGGGCUCUGGGAGAUGCAGAAUAUGGAAAUGGAUGUGGAGAGAGGUUUAUUUAUCUAUUUUUUCUCAUUUUUGGCCGCCCCUUGGCAUACGGAGUUCACAGGCCAAGGAUCAGAUCCCAGCCAUAGUGUGACCUAAGCUGCAGCUGCAGCAAUGCUGGAUCCUUAACCUGCUGUGCAGGGCCAGGGAUCAAACCUGUGUCCCAGCGCUCCGGAGAUACUGCCCAUCCUGUUCCACUACUUAAUCUUACUUAAGAUGAAAGGGGCAGAGACCUGGGGUUCCAGGACCUAGGGGGGCUUGCUUUGCUUCCCACAGCAUCAGGAAGGUGGCAGGUGCAUGGCUGGGUGCUGCUCCCAGAGAUGGUUGAACUCCGAGCUCAGAACAUCCCUGCCUGGAUGAAGGUCCUGUGUCCAAGCUGGACACUGAGCCAAUCGGAGAUGACCAGCAUAGAUAGACAUGAGAGGACCAGACGGCAGGAUCCAGGUCGUUGCAGUGCCACCCGCGAAGAUGGGGGAUGGAACCUCAGGCAGGCAGCCACUGGAUUUACCAGCAGCCCUGUGCUUGUGGGUACAGAGCAUGUGACACUUGCUUUGUAGAAAUAAAAAAAUCGGGAGUUCCCGUUGUGGCUCAUAACAUUAAGAACCUGACUAGUCUCUGUGAGGAUGUGGGUUCAAUCCCUGACCUCACACAGUGGAUUAAGGAUCCAGCAUUGCCACAAGCUGUAGCAGAGGUCACAGAUGUGGCUGGAAUCUGGUGUUGCAUGUGGGAACUUCCAUAUGCUGCAGGUGCGACCCUAAAAAGACAAAAAAAAUCAGGCAUUUCCUGCAUCCUGUGUAUCACAGUAUAAGCCCCACAGUCUAUAAAUUCUUUUUUUUUUUUUUUUUUUUUUUUUGUCUUUUUGCCAUUUCUUGGGCUGCUCCCGUGGCAUAGGGAGGUUCCCAGGCUC